UACGAAGGGGGCUAGCGUUGCUCGGAAUGACUGGGCGUAAAGGGCGCGUAGGCGGCUCAUGAAGGCUGUGGUGAAAGUCCGGGGCUCAACCUCGGAUCGGCCGUGGCGACUCGUGGGCUGGAGCACUGUAGAGGCGGGUGGAAUUCCGGGUGUAGCGGUGGAAUGCGUAGAGAUCCGGAAGAACACCAGUGGCGAAGGCGGCCCGCUGGGCAGUGGCUGACGCUGAGACGCGAAAGCGUGGGGAGCAAACAGG
rnacentral:rRNA from 1 species